UACGUAGGGGGCAAGCGUUGUCCGGAAUCAUUGGGCGUAAAGCGCGUGUAGGCGGCUUGGUAAGUCUGCUCUGAAAGCCCGGGGCUCAACCCCGGGAGGCGGGUGGAUACUGUCAAGCUCGAGUCCGGAAGAGGAGUGUGGAAUUCCUGGUGUAGCGGUGAAAUGCGUAGAUAUCGGAAGGAACAUCAGUGGCGAAAGCGGUUGCCUGGGGCUGUGCUGACGCUGAUGCGCGAAAGCGUGGGGAGCGAUCCGG
rnacentral:rRNA from 1 species